UGCGUAGGCGGGCUAAUAAGUCAGUGGUGAAAUCUUCCGGCUCAACCGGGAACCUGCCAUUGAUACUGUUAGUCUUGAGUUCGGUUGAGCUAGGCGGAAUGUGUAAUGUAGCGGUGAAAUGCUUAGAUAUUACACAGAACACCAAUUGCGUAGGCAGCUUACUAGACCGACACUGACGCUGAGGCACGAAAGCGUGGGGAGCGAACAGGAUUAGAUACCCUGGUAGUCC
rnacentral:rRNA from 1 species